rnacentral:rRNA from 1 species
AGAGUUUGAUCCUGGCUCAGGAUGAACGCUGGCGGCGUGCUUAACACAUGCAAGUCGAACGAUCCUUCGGGAUAGUGGCGGACGGGUGAGUAACGCGUGGGAAUCUGCCCUCAGGAGGGGGAUAACGGCUGGAAACGGCCGCUAAUACCCCAUAUGCCGAGAGGUGAAAUGAAUUUCGCCUGAGGAUGAGCCCGCGUCUGAUUAGCUAGUUGGUGGGGUAAUGGCCUACCAAGGCAACGAUCAGUAGCUGGUCUGAGAGGAUGAUCAGCCACACUGGGACUGAGACACGGCCCAGACUCCUACGGGAGGCAGCAGUGGGGAAUUUUCCGCAAUGGGCGAAAGCCUGACGGAGCAACGCCGCGUGAGGGAUGAAGGCCUCUGGGCUGUAAACCUCUUUUCUCAAGGAAGAAGACCUGACGGUACUUGAGGAAUAAGCCACGGCUAAUUCCGUGCCAGCAGCCGCGGUAAUACGGGAGUGGCAAGCGUUAUCCGGAAUUAUUGGGCGUAAAGCGUCCGCAGGCGGCCUUGUAAGUCUGUUGUUAAAGCGUGGAGCUCAACUCCAUUUAAGCAAUGGAAACUACAAGGCUGGAGUGUGGUAGGGGCAGAGGGAAUUCCCGGUGUAGCGGUGAAAUGCGUAGAUAUCGGGAAGAACACCAGUGGCGAAGGCGCUCUGCUGGGCCAUAACUGACGCUCAUGGACGAAAGCCAGGGGAGCGAAAGGGAUUAGAUACCCCUGUAGUCCUGGCCGUAAACGAUGAACACUAGGUGUCGGGGGAAUUGACCCCCUCGGUGUCGUAGCCAACGCGUUAAGUGUUCCGCCUGGGGAGUACGCACGCAAGUGUGAAACUCAAAGGAAUUGACGGGGGCCCGCACAAGCGGUGGAGUAUGUGGUUUAAUUCGAUGCAACGCGAAGAACCUUACCAGGGUUUGACAUCCUGCGAACCCCUGAGAAAUCGGGGGGUGCCUUCGGGAGCGCAGAGACAGGUGGUGCAUGGCUGCCGUCAGCUCGUGUCGUGAGAUGUUGGGUUAAGUCCCGCAACGAGCGCAACCCACGUCUUUAGUUGCCAGCAUUCAGUUGGGCACUCUAGAGAGACCGCCGGUGAUAAACCGGAGGAAGGUGUGGAUGACGUCAAGUCAUCAUGCCCCUUACAUCCUGGGCUACACACGUACUACAAUGCUACGGACAAAGGGCAGCAAGCUCGCGAGAGUUAGCAAAUCCCAUAAACCGUGGCUCAGUUCAGAUCGUAGGCUGCAACUCGCCUACGUGAAGGAGGAAUCGCUAGUAAUCGCAGGUCAGCAUACUGCGGUGAAUACGUUCCCGGGCCUUGUACACACCGCCCGUCACACCAUGGAAGUUGGCCAUGCCCGAAGUCGUUACUCCAACCCUUGUGGAGGAGGACGCCGAAGGUGGGGCUGAUGACUGGGGUGAAGUCGUAACAAGGUA